rnacentral:rRNA from 1 species
CCUACGGGAGGCAGCAGUAGGGAAUCUUCCACAAUGGGCGCAAGCCUGAUGGAGCAACACCGCGUGAGUGAAGAAGGGUUUCGGCUCGUAAAGCUCUGUUGUUAAAGAAGAACACGUAUGAGAGUAACUGUUCAUACGUUGACGGUAUUUAACCAGAAAGUCACGGCUAACUCCUUCCAGCAGCCGCGGUAAU